rnacentral:lncRNA from 1 species
GAUGAACAAAAAUAAGAAAAUAAGAUUAGGAAAAAGGAAAAUAAGAAGAGGAAGAGAAGAAAAGAAGAAAAAGGAGAAUAAUAAGAGGAGGAGAGGAGAAGAAGAGGAAAAAUAGAAGAAGAGGAGAAGUAGAAGAAGAGAACUUGAAGAAGAAGCGGAGAAGAAAAUAAGAAAGAAGAAGAAGAAGAAGAAGAAGAAGAAGAAGAAGAAGAAGAAGAAGAAGAAGAAGACAUUUCUACGUAUAUAGAUGCUUAAUUAGUGUUUCUUAUAUUAUUGCUUAAUUUUGCUAUUGUAUAUGCUUAAGUGUUAAUAGUUUAAUUUUGCU